rnacentral:rRNA from 1 species
CACGUAGGGCGCGAGCGUUGUCCGGAAUUAUUGGGCGUAAAGAGCUCGUAGGCGGCCUGUUGCGUCCGCUGUGAAAGCCCGGGGCUUAACCCCGGGUCGGCAGUGGAUACGGGCAGGCUAGAGGUAGGUAGGGGAGAAUGGAAUUCCCGGUGUAGCGGUGAAAUGCGCAGAUAUCGGGAGGAACACCGGUGGCGAAGGCGGCGACCUGGUCCUUGACUGACGCUGAGGCGCGAAAGCGUGGGGAGCAAACAGG